CACCCGGGCCUGCAGCUCUCGCAGCUCCUCUUUCUGCCGGCUGUUCUCGCCUUCGAGGACCUUUACCUGCUCAUGUUAACGUAGCACACACUGCUCGAAGCCGCCGCCGAAGGCCCUCUGACUUCAUGUCCAGAUAUAUGAAGAAUAAGAGACAUGAUAUGUCAUUGAAGAUAAAUUAGGAGGUCUUAUGGGUAAACAGUAAACCUCUUAUUCAUCAGGUUUUAAGGGAGCGUGCCACUGCAGGAAUGCCCACCAGACACCUUUGCAGUAAAAUAAACGGUCAAUUCACGUCUAUAAACUGUCUUCAAUGAUGUUUCCAAGAAUUUGGCAGUACAUCCAACCAGCCUCACAAAAACAGACAACAUCAGCUUCAGACCACCACAUUCAGCGUCUUCACGUGAACCACCUGAACAACUGAUGCAACGACUGCUUUUUGAAACUGACAAACUUCUGCUCAAAAACCGUCUCAGAGAAGCUCAUCUGCAAACUCGUCAUCGUCAGCAGCGUCUCGACCUGACAGCAGUCAGUCGU